GACGAACGCUGGCGGCGUGCUUAACACAUGCAAGUCGAACGGAAAGGCCCUGCUUUUGUGGGGUGCUCGAUUGGCGAACGGGUGAGUAACACGUGAGUAACAUGCCCUUGACUUUGGGAUAACUUCAGGAAACUGGGGCUAAUACCGGAUAGGAGAUCCUGCUGCAUGGUGGGGGUUGGAAAGUGUCGGCGGUUGGGGCUGGACUCGCGGCUUAUCAGCUUGUUGGUGGGGUAGUGGCUGACCAAGGCUUUGACGGGUAGCCGGCCUGAGAGGGUGACCGGGCACAAUGGUACUGAGAUACGGCCCAGAAUGCAACGGGCGGCAGCGGGGGGAAAUAUGACGCAAUGGGCGGGAGCCAGAUGCAGCAACGCCGGGUGCGGGAUGACGGCCUACUGGUUGUAAACAGCUUUGGCAUGUGACGAAGCGUGAGUGACGGUAACGGGUAAAGAAGCACCGGCUAACUACGUG
rnacentral:rRNA from 1 species